GACGAACGCUGGCGGCGUGCUUAACACAUGCAAGUCGAACGGAAAGGCCCUGCUUUUGUGGGGUGCUCGAGUGGCGAACGGGUGAGUAACACGUGAGUAACCUGCCCUUGACUUUGGGAUAACUUCAGGAAACUGGGGCUAAUACCGGAUAGGAGCUCCUGCUGCAUGGUGGGGGUUGGAAAGUUUCGGCGGUUGGGGAUGGACUCGCGGCUUAUCAGCUUGUUGGUGGGGUAGUGGCUUACCAAGGCUUUGACGGGUAGCCGGCCUGGGAGGGUGACCGGGCACAUUGGGACUGAGAUACGGCCCAGAAUCCUACGGGAGGCAGCAGUGGGGAAUAUUGCACAAUGGGCGGAAGCCUGAUGCAGCAACGCCGCGUGCGGGAUGACGGCCUUCGGGUUGUAAACCGCUUUCGCCUGUGACGAAGCGUGAGUGACGGCAAUGGGUAAAGAAGCACCGGCUAACUACGUG
rnacentral:rRNA from 1 species